GAUGAAGAACGUAGCGAAAUGCGAUAAGUAAUGUGAAUUGCAGAAUUCAGUGAAUCAUCGAAUCUUUGAACGCACAUUGCGCCCCCUGGUAUUCCGGGGGGCAUGCCUGUUCGAGCGUCAUUUCACCACUCAAGCCUCGCUUGGUAUUGGGCAACGCGGUCCGCCGCGUGCCUUAAAUCGACCGGCUGGGUCUUCUGUCCCCUAAGCGUUGUGGAAACUAUUCGCUAAAGGGUGUUCGGGAGGCUACGCCGUAAAACAACCCCAUUUCUAAGGUUGACCUCGGAUCAGGUAGGGAUACCCGCUGAACUUAAGCAUAUCAAUAAGCGGAGGA
rnacentral:misc_RNA from 1 species